rnacentral:lncRNA from 1 species
CGUAGACCAAGCAACACCAACCUUCACUCAUCUGACAAUCGAUGAUCAAGAUCUCACCUCACCUUGUAUUCCGCUACAAACUCUCCCUUAUACUGAUGAAGUGCAGAAAGUCUAGGAAGGGACAGUACAGGGACAGCGUCCGUCUUUAUGGGUAGACUGCCGUACGGAGAAGUAGUGGAUAAGCCACUAUGGGUUACCAGCGGAGGGAAGAGUGUUCCUGAACCGUACUGACGGAUGUGCUGCAGCCUGUUAGGGUCAAGAGAGGGAUAGACUUGCACUUUGCAUUAACACUAAGUCAGCGGUCAUGGGGUUUCUGUGUCUUUGGGCUAACACAUCUUCUG